rnacentral:rRNA from 1 species
UACGUAGGGUGCGAGCGUUGUCCGGAAUUAUUGGGCGUAAAGGGCUCGUAGGCGGUUUGUCGCGUCGGGAGUGAAAACCUCGGGCUUAACUCGGGGCUUGCUUUCGAUACGGGCAGACUAGAGGUAUGCAGGGGAGAACGGAAUUCCUGGUGUAGCGGUGAAAUGCGUAGAUAUCUGGAGGAACACCGGUGGCGAAGGCGGCAUCCUGGACCGACACUGACGCUGAGGAGCGAAAGCCAGGGGAGCAAACGGG